ensembl:lincRNA
AUCAACAAAUAUUUGCUGACAAUCUGCUAGAUUGGAAGAACAGAACCAGGUCUUGGGGAAAACAAGGAUGAACCAGGAGCCCCCAAACAGCCCACUUAAAGUCAGGGCAGUUCCCAGGGAAUGGUCUCCAGGUCCUCAAUUACAAGGGUGAGGCCCCCAUCCCUGUGGUCCAAGACAGUCAUCACUGCAACUGCAGGCAGUAUGUGAGAAGGGAGAAAGAAGAGAACGGCCUUUCCUCUGUGUGCACUGGACCCAGAAGCUGACAUCAUUUGCCCUUCCUCUAAGUGCCCCAGACUGGGAAGCUGACAUCAUCUGCCCUUCCUCUAAGUGCACUUAACCCGGAAGUUCACACUAUCACUUGCGCUCACGCUCUUCUAGUCUGAUUUUGGACAUGUGGCUAUACUUAGUCACUCUGAGUCUGGGAAAUUUUGUUUUUAUUGGUGGCUGCAUGUCCAACUGAAAUUCCAAUCCUUUAGAAAUGGGGAAACUGAUACUGGGUUCAGUUCACAGUCUCAGCCAGAAGGCCUCUGCAGAAAGGCCACCGCUCCCCUGGUAGUACACUGGAGAAAUUCCCAAUCUGUGCCCUAGUCCCUGGGAAGGUCUGGAGCUACUACCAGAGGUCCAUACGUCCAGCUGGGCAGCAGGUGUGGCCCAGUGACUGUCGAGCACAUUAUGCAUGGAAGCAUUUCCAUUUUGCAGAGGACCAAGGAGCGUGAAACAGGUUGGAAUAGAGAAGUCAGGUUUAUGCAACCAAGUGAGGCAAAGCUGAGUCUCCACAUUGUGUACUUGUGUGUUUGUGGUUUGGCCCAAGGUUCAGGGUCUGGAACCUGCAUUCCUAUGCAGAAAGAGGAGGACCAAAAUGAUGGAAUUCAUGCCCAAAGCAUACGAGGUACGGGGAUGCAGGGCACGCACGAGAGGCUGGGACUUUAUCUGGUUCUUCUGAGGACUGUAUCAGCAGCAAAGAUAAGGAGCUUUCUGUCUGUCAACCUCAUCACUAUCACCGCCAGCAGUUACAUCACAAAAUGAGAACGCAAGCAACGCAGAAAUCUUUCCAACUAGCAGGAAGUACAGAAGAGCUUUCGUGGUAGAAAACCCACACUGUAGUAGGCAGAUGGUAAAUAGUUCCCCACAGAAAUCAAGGAAACAAAAAUAAAUAAAUAACUCUGGUGACACUGUAUUGUGUUGAGAAGGACACAGCUAUUAAUGCCACCACCUGUAGGGUUCUUGACCCUGGUUUUUGACCAUGGUUCUUUCAAGUGAUUUUCACGUGGUUUCAUUUCAUUCCUAUGAUAACCCAAGAAGUGGGCAGGAUAGACAUUAUUUUCCCCUUUCUGUAGAUGAGAAAACAGAGUUUCAGAUUAAGUGUCUUGGCCAAGGUUGAGAGGUUGGGAAGAGGUCCAACUGGGGCCAGAACCCAGAUCUAAAUGUCAGGCUCUGCUACGGUGUCUGGAGACUGGGGAAGUUUGGGGACCACAUGGUCAGGUGAUCUGUGUGGGUUAUUCCCCUGGCACCCAUAGCCAAGUGACAGCAUACAGCACUCCCAGGGAAAGACUCUAGUUGGUUCUGCUGGAGUCACACGCCUGUUGUUUGGAUUGAACACUGAUAACAACAGGAAGAGAUACUGUGACUGAUCAGGCCUAGAUCAUAUAGCUCAUUCCAUGGGCCCUAUUUCCAGAAGGGUCACAGGAAACCCUAAAAGGCAGAAAAAGAUUCUUACCAUGACCCACUACACUUAACUAUCUAAAAAAUAAUUCUAAU